rnacentral:rRNA from 1 species
UGAGGAAUAUUGGACAAUGGAGGCAACUCUGAUCCAGCCAUGCCGCGUGUAGGAAGACUGCCCUAUGGGUUGUAAACUACUUUUAUAGAGGAAGAAACCGCUCUACGUGUAGAGCUCUGACGGUACUCUACGAAUAAGGAUCGGCUAACUCCGUGCCAGCAGCCGCGGUAAUACGGAGGAUCCGAGCGUUAUCCGGAAUCAUUGGGUUUAAAGGGUCCGUAGGCGGGCAAUUAAGUCAGGGGUGAAAGUUUGCGGCUCAACCGUAAAAUUGCCUUUGAUACUGGUUGUCUUGAAUUAUUGUGAAGUGGUUAGAAUAAGUAGUGUAGCGGUGAAAUGCAUAGAUAUUACUUAGAAUACCGAUUGCGAAGGCAGAUCACUAACAAUUGAUUGACGCUAAGGGACGAAAGCGUGGGUAGCGAACAGGAUUAGAUACCCCCGUAGUCC